GAUGAACGCUGGCGGCGUGCCUAAUACAUGCAAGUCGAGCGAACGGACGAGAAGCUUGCUUCUCUGAUGUUAGCGGCGGACGGGUGAGUAACACGUGGAUACCCUACCUAUAAGACUGGGAUAACUUCGGGAAACCGGAUCUAAUACCGGAUAAUAUUUUGAACCGCAUGGUUCAAAAGUGAAAGACGGUCUUGCUGUCACUUAUAGAUGGAUCCGCGCUGCAUUAGCUAGUUGGUAAGGUAACGGCUUACCAAGGCAACGAUGCAUAGCCGACCUGAGAGGGUGAUAGGCCACAGUGGAACGGAGACACGGUCAAGACUCCUACGGGACGCAGCAGUAGGGAAUCUUCCGCAAUGGGCGAAAGCCUGACGGAGCAACGCCGAGUGAGUGAUGAAGGUCUUCGGAUCGUAAAACUCUGUUAUUAGGGAAGAACAUAUGUGUAAGUAACUGUGCACAUCUUGACGGUACCUAAUCAGAAAGCCACGGCUAACUACGUG
rnacentral:rRNA from 1 species